AAACUAAAAAAAGAUUGAUAUAUCUAAUGAAUUUCGUGUACGAGUUGCUUAAUUUAUAAAAAGUCAACUUAAGUCACAAAAGUCGAUUAUCGGGGUUGAUUAAUUGACUUCCAGAAUCGAAAAACUAGAAGUCAAUUCCAAAGUCAAAAAUCGAUUCCGCUCGCGCUCUUUCCAUCCCUAUUCGAUAGCUGCGUGACUAACAAAAGCAUAAAAUACAGUUGAUCUCCUUUUUGCACGGUUAACUGGGACAGUAAAUUACUCGUGUAAAAAAAAAAACCGUGCAAAAAAAACAAAUUUUUAUAAAAAACUCACUAUUGGGACCAAUUUAAGAGAAAAAUCGUGCAAAAAAUAGAAAACGUGUAAAAAAGAUCUAAUUUUACAUGAAAUUCUAUCUAUUCGUACAGUGAGAAUUUUCACUGUUGUUGUUGUUAUAGACUUUUCUGGUAUUAUUUGUAUGUAGAUAUUACUGUUAGAAGGAACAAACAACAACUAUUCUGGGAAUGGUAAAAAAAUAAUACAUUUCAAAGUUCCGUCAUUAAUCGCUGUGCCUUCCUUUUUCUUACUUCUUCAUACAGCGGCAUUUAUUUGUUUACGUAUUUAAAUUGUUGCAACCUUUUCACUGGCUUUCGAAUCUAAGAUUUGUAUUUUUUAGUUUAAACCUAAUUUAGAAUUUAUUAAAUUCUAUUAACAGCAAUGGAUUUGUGACGUAUUGACGGAUGGAAUUUUGAUUUUAUUGCAAAAAAGUAUACAAUUAAAAUAAAAAAUCCGUGUAAAAAAAGUAAAACCGUGUAAAAAUGGUAACUGCGAAGUGUUCAAAAACACUGUGUAAAGAAAAACCGUGCAAAAAAAAACCGUGUAAAAAGGAGAUCAACUGUAUUGCUGAAAUUGUCUUUCGUCUGACCUAAACCCAACACGGAGAUGGAUCCGAAGAAUCUUCGAUGUACAGUGAAACGUGGUUGAGGUCACUUAAAGAUAAACGCUACUCGAAAAUGCUUUUGGAAGUUGGUACAUAUAAUCGGCAAUCAUACUUCUCGGAAAUUACUUGUAAUUGCAACGAUGACAACUUAUUUAAGACUCACUUCCGCAUAAGCCGCAAAAAUUUUUAGCUACUCUGUAGCUUUCUUACUAAUUUAAAUAAAGUUAACACAAACUGGUGCUACGCUAUAUCGUUACAAAAACGUGUGGCUUUAUUUACUUUGUGAUCGUAUGGAGAAUAUAUGUAAGGUAGUGUCUGAACCUUUUGAGUUUUUGAACUUCGAGUUCUGCGAAGACGUUGUCAGCUAACUUUAUAAAAAAGUUACCACCAUCUCCUGAUUUUAUAGCUGACUGAGUUGAUGGUUAUCACCCUUUGGGCUUCUCACAAUGUCUACGAGCAAUUGGUAAUGUACAAUUUAGUAAAUGAGAUUUAUAUAAACAUGCACAUACAUACAUAUUUAGAUGGAUGCCACUGGUUACUAUAAUUGCAACGGAUGAUAUUCUAUUGUUCUCCUAGCUAUCGUGGAUUACAUGUUAGGUUACUUUUAUGAGAAUAUUUUAUUUUUGUUAACGGGCUUUUAUAUUUUUAUUUAUAAAUCCAGAUAUCGCUCCCUUAUAUAAUAAUUGGUGCUCCUGGUCGAUGCAAUGAUUUCAAGAUAUAUGUAUAAUGCAUCACUAUUGAAGCAAAUUAUGGAGCACAAUGAACUGCUGAAACAACAAAAAAGAACUCGGUGGUAUACAACUGCCAAUAUGUAUAAUGGGAGAUUCUGAAUUUCGGUUUUCCACCUCACUAAUGAAGCCAUUCGCAUUUUCAAUGACUUUAACUGAAAUCAAAAAACUUGGAUUUGGAUAGGAAUUGGUGAACAAUUUGUUCAAUUAAAAGAGUCCCGAUUAAAUGAACAGUUUGUUCAAUUACAGGAAUCACGCUUAUUUUGACCAUUUGGAAUUUGUCUUAUUAAAUAGUACAAUAUUAAAAUAUUAUCCAAAAAUAUGAAAUCGAUAUGAUUAAAAUUUCAAGAAUGUAAAACUUUAAACGGAUUUAUCUCAAAACUCGAAUUUUGAAGUCAGUGGACACGAUUUCUUUAAAAGAUAUGAUUCUGUUGAAAAAUUUCCCCACAUCUUUAUUACAACUAUUUUUUGAGUCAGUAUAUGGCGAAAGUUUGACCACAAAAGCUGGUUUUUUGUUCAAAAUCUAUCAAGAAUUCAGUUUUUAAUAUUUUUUUCCUUUGUUCAUUAACAACAAAUAUUUUUGAUUUGGAUGAACCAAUUAUGAGUUAUGAUGUCCACUGCAAGAAUUUUUUUGGAUACUUCAAGGACUCUUUUUUUAUAGCACAUCUUGGUACGUAUUCAUGACAUAGCAUGUUUUGGCGCGCAGUUUCAUGAGAAAUCUGUAUGUUGCACUCUUCCUAUAACUCUUUCGUAAAAACACUUAUCGAAAUUUUUGGAAUUUAGUCAAGUUUUCGAGACAUUAGGCACUGAACAUGUCCACUUAUUUAUAAUUUAGGGUCUUUUCCUCGCUUUGGUUCUAGUAUUUCCUUAUUUUCCGAUCAAGUGUAGCCAUUAUUCACUAUUUAGAGAGUUAAAGAAAGCAUUGCUGUUAGAUCUCAAACGUUUUUAACCCAUUGGGGAUUAUGGGGCAAUAGUUGGACCUCUUAAACAAAACCCUUUGCACGGCAUAUUAAAAAGACAAUAUUGGGUACUUUAGAAAUGAAAAAAGCAAAAAUGAAUCACCAACUAAUUGGCAAAUUCAUUGUAAAUGCCUUUACGAAGAAUAGGUAACGGUAAAGUACGGUUAACUGUGUAACACGUGCUAAACAAGGAAAAAAACGAAGUGUGCAAAGUGUUUCUUGACACUAACAAAAUUGAGUGAUUUUUGUUUUUUGAUGUUCUUGGUUUGUUUUUGCAUUGCUUUCACAGUUUUUUUGCAUCAAUUCUCUUUAAAUACUGUAUGUAAUCACCCCUGAUUCCAAAAAAAAUGUUGAACGGAAGAAAAAAGUAAUAAAUUUUGCUGCGGAAAAUUUAAAGGUGUAUUUAUUUUCAAUGUGUAAACUCUUUCUUGACAAACUGUAUGUACAUACAUAUGUGCACUUAAAGUUUUUCAAAUAUUUGAAUAUUUUUUUCCAUUAUAAGAAAAAAUGCAAUAACAAUUAUUUGUAUAAUACUUACAUACAUAUGUAGGUAUCUAUUUAUGUACAUAUGUAUGUAGAUAGUGGAACUUCUCCAACUCGAAUCACCAUAAUCCAAAAAAAACUUCGAUUUAGAGAGACUUCCGAGUUACAGAAUGUAAUUUGUAUGAAUUUUGACUUCUAUUGCCAAUUCGAAAGUUCGAAUUAUGGAGAACUUCGAGUUAGAGCAGUUAGAGUCAUGGAAGUUCAACUGUAUAUAUUUGUUAUUCAAUUUUAUUAUUAACAAGUACCGAACAUUUUAUACUCUCGCAAUUUAUUGAUGUAAUUUUAUUAAGAUAACACACAAUUUGACCCAUAUAUUCGGCAUCAAGUCCAAUAGAAUAACGAAAAUCAUCAUAUAUGGUAUAUGAGGGCUGAUGUAAUUCCUAAACCGAUUUCACUAAUUUUCCCUACCUAGCUACACUACACACAAGACUAUAUGCUCACUUAAUUUUGCAAAGAUAUCUCACAUAUUAACCGAUAUACACGGAAUAAAGCUCACACAUUAUUAGGUAUGUAUAUGUGAUCUAGGGGAAGUUCUGAUCCGAUUUUAAUAAUUUUUGGAACAGAGACACACAAUUAGGAGAAAAUAAUCCCCUCUGAAUUAAAUUAAAAUAUCUAAAAGAUUGGCCGAUAUUUUCGUUGAAAAAUUACGCUUAGGCACUGAGUUCUUCAUGUAGAUAUCCGGGACCUUGAAAAGUUGUAGUCCGAUUUCGAAAAUUUUUCCAUAAGUGAAGCCACAGAUGAUAUACAGUAUUUGUGUUAAUUUUUAUUCCGCUAGCUUCAUCGGUUCCUUAUUGUAUAUAUUAUAAAGUGAACGAAUCAGAUGGAAUUCAGAAUUGAGUUUUAUGGGAAGUUAGUGUGCUUGUGAACCGAUUUCGCCCAUUUUUCGUCCGUGUUGUCAGGGUGCAAAAAAAUUUUAUAUACCGAAUUUCAUUGAAAUCGGUCGACUAGUUCCUGAGAUAUGGUUUUUGACCCAUAAGUGGGUGAAGCCACGCCCAUUUUCCAUUUUGUGUGCAGUUUCCAUCUGCCAUUUCUCAUGUAAAAUAUAGUGUUUCUGACGUUUUUCGUUAGUGAGUAUGUAUGGGAGGUGGGAGUGGUUAUUAUCCGAUUUCUUACAUUUUUGGACUGCAUAAGGAAAUCGCUAAAAUAAACGACUACAGAAAGUUUGGUUUAUGUAGCUUAAUUGGUUUGCAAGAUGGGCGGGGCCACGCCCACAUGAAAAAAAAUUCCACCCAAAUAUGCCUCUCCCUAAUGUCAUCCUCUGUUCCAAAUUUUACUUCCGUAACUUUAUUUAUGGCUUAGUUAUGACACUUAAUAUGUUUUCAGUUUUCGCCAUUUUGUGGGCGUGGCAAUGGACCGAGUUUACUUAUCUUCGAAAGAAAACUUUCUAUGGUGCCAAGUUUCAUUAAGUUAUCUUAAUAUUUACUCAAGUUACAACUUGCACAGACGGACGUACAGACUGACAUCCGGAUUUGAACUCCACUCUUCACCCUGAUUACUUUGGUAUACAGUAAUCCCCGUUUAAGUGCCCCCUCCGAACAUGCAAGAAUUUUGAGGCACUUAAGCGGGAAAGGCACUUAAAUAAAUCCCUCUUAAGUGCCUCGAGGUACU